AAUGAACGCUGGCGGCGUGCUUAACACAUGCAAGUCGAGCGAGGCCUGGGGGGCAACUCCCAGAGUCGAGCGGCGGACGGGUGAGUAACACGUGGGUAACCCUACCCGGAAGUGGGGAAUACCUCGGGGAAACUCGAGCUAAUACCGCAUAACAUCUCUGGGACGAAAGUCCUGGCGAUCAAAGCGGGGUCGCAAGAUCUCGCGCUACCGGAUGGGCCCGCGCCCGAUUAGCUAGUUGGNGAGGUAACGGCUCACCAAGGCUUCGAUCGGUAACCGGCCUGAGAGGGCGAUCGGUCACACCGGAACUGAGACACGGUCCGGACUCCUACGGGAGGCAGCAGUGGGGAAUCUUGCGCAAUGGGCGAAAGCCUGACGCAGCAACGCCGCGUGGAGGAUGAAGGCCCUUGGGUUGUAAACUCCUGUCGGCU
rnacentral:rRNA from 1 species